AAUUAAUGAAUGUAUGUGAAAGAUCCCCGGAGCAGGGAGACCCUCACUCAAGUCUCGGGAUGAUGCAACCCCCCAAGAACUCACAAGAGACC
rnacentral:pre_miRNA from 14 species